CUACCAUGCAAGUCGAGCGCCCCGCAAGGGGAGCGGCGGACGGGUGAGUAACGCGUGGCCANUUUUUCCUGGAGUACGGAACAACCGAGGGAAACUUCGGCUAAUACCGUAUGAUGCCGAGAGGCCAAAGAUUUAUCGCUCUGGGGUGAGCCCGCGUCAGAUUAGGUAGUUGGUGGGGUAAUGGCCUACCAAGCCUGCGAUCUGUAGCUGGUCUGAGAGGACGAUCAGCCACACUGGGACUGAGACACGGCCCAGACUCCUACGGGAGGCAGCAGUGGGGAAUCUUGCGCAAUGGGCGAAAGCCUGACGCAGCCAUGCCGCGUGAGUGAAGAAGGUCUUAGGAUUGUAAAGCUCUUUCGCUCGUGACGAUGAUGACGGUAACGAGAGAAGAAGCCCCGGCUAACUUCGUGCCAGCAGCCGCGGUAAUACGAAGGGGGCUAGCGUUGUUCGGAAUUACUGGGCGUAAAGCGCGCGUAGGCGGUUUUGCAAGCCAGAGGUGAAAUGCCUGAGCUCAACUCAGGAAUGGCCUUUGGGACUGCGAGGCUUUGAGGACUGGAGAGGUGAGUGGAAUUCCCAGUGUAGAGGUGAAAUUCGUAGAUAUUGGGAAGAACACCGGUGGCGAAGGCGGCUCACUGGCCAGUUUCUGACGCUGUAGCGCGAAAGCGUGGGGAUCAAACAGGAUUAGAUACCCUGGUAGUCCACGCCGUAAACGAUGANUUGCUAGGCGUCGGCAUGCAUGCAUGU
rnacentral:rRNA from 1 species